GCUGUAAAAAUACCCAAAAUAACAAUGCUGCACUAUACAGUUCAAUAUUAUGCUUUAUGUCAGGUAAUGGAAGCUGUGUGUGUAAUGCUGGACCUCAAGCCAGAGAGGAAGCCAGACCCUAAUGGCUCAGGAAAAAUGAUUGAGGACUAUUGGGCACCAUCUCAGAAGCUGUUGGGGGAUAUGAAGUUCCUCCAGAACCUGCUGCACUAUGACAAAGAAAACAUUCCCACAAAGAUUAUCACUCACGUCCGCAACGAGUUCUACUCUCACCCGGAUUUUGACCCAAAGAAGAUACGUAUGGUAUCAAUGGCUUGUGAGGGCCUCUGCCGAUGGGUGAGGGCCAUGGUUGUCUAUGAUCAAGUCAUAAAGAUUGUCGCCCCCAAGAAACAAGCUUUGGAGGCUGCCAACCAUGAACUGGCCCCCCAGAAUGAAAAGCUAGAGGAAAAGAGGAAGGAACUCAGAGAGGCUAAAGUUCUUCCAGCGGUGGGCGGACGAGAAAAUCCCCGACGUAUUCUGGUUUUCUGGGCUGUUCUUCCCCUACUCCUUCCUCACGGGCAUACGUCAGAACUAUGCCAGGAAACAUGCCAUACCCAUCGACAGGAUUGACUUCCUGUUUAAGGUAAUGGAAAAGGAGGUGGAAGAUAUCAUCCAGGAAUGUAUCAGACCCAACUUCGUGGAGUUGCCAGUGGUGAUCGAGCGGCUGCCCACGCCAAAUGUGCAGGGGCAGUACUACCCCCUCGACACUGACCUCGAAGACAACGAAUCGCUUCCUUACGAUAACGACUCCCCCCAGCUCAAGAAGGAGGGUGACCAGGUAACAAAAUGCAGAAACAGAUAUCAAAUGCCAGGCUAAUAACUUUAGUACAGGGAUUGAAGGAAGGAAGGAAGGGAAAGUAAGUAAUAAAUCAGAGAGAGAGAGAGAGAGAGAGAUAUAAACCAGAUUAAGUGGAAGGGAGUAUUCAGGAAAGGAUGAAGAGUAGAGUCAGGUAAACUAAAAGGCUGUCUUGGUAAGAAUUGGACUAUGAGGAUGGUGAAGACAGAAUGGGAAAUGAAAGAUUAGUUAUCAAAAGAGAACCACAUAACAGAGAGGGAAGAGCUUGAUAAAUAAUGAAGGAAGAGAGACCAGGUACAAGCAGAAAUAGAUAAGGAAGGAUGACAAGAUAACAAGUGGUAGAAGGAUGAAGAAGGAACUGAAUAAGGAGGGAAAAGGUAGCAAGAUCAUGAAAGGAGAAGGAUAAAUCUUACCAAGAUGACAGGUAUGCUAAUAGACAAAGGAAAAUGGCAUAUGUGUGCCCUAUAUUCAAACAGGGUGAUUAACACGGCUCAAACAAUUAAGGUGCAGCCUUCUGGAGUCAUCCUACUUCCAGAAAAAAUAAAUAGAAGUUGGAAGUUACACAAGCCCCAUCUGUACAAGCAGCCUAAAUAAUUGUGGCUAUCUUGUCAUCAGAUUUACUACCUCACUUACUGUUACAUACUACAGGUACUCCUCUACUUACGAACGCGUUACGUUCCUGAGGCUUGCUUGUAAGUCCAUCUUUGCUCUUGUAGAUACCAAAUAUAUUGUAAAA
rnacentral:misc_RNA from 1 species